rnacentral:misc_RNA from 1 species
AUUACUGUCAAUUUGACCCAUUGGUCGAAGUAGAAAAAUAGAAAAAAAAUACAAAUAUAAAUUAAAAAAUCAUUUUUAAUGAUUUUAGGUUAGGCCUUUGGGAAAUGGGGUUUUAUAAGUGUGUGAGAGAGAGAGAAGGAGUUCGAGGAGAGAGGGAAAAAUAUAAAAAUAUUUUUAUUUAGAUUAAUAAUAAAUUUAUCAGUAUUAUUAUCAUUUUCAAUGUUGACCAAUUCAAGUCAUUUAGGCAAGAUUGCUCAAAUUAACAGAUUCAGGUAAAAUAGAAGAAGUGUGCAAAGGUUCAGAUAGGCCUUAUUCUCAUGGAAAGUUCAAGGAGAUUCUUCUUCUUCUUUUAUGUGGAAAAAG